rnacentral:rRNA from 1 species
CGGGGAGUAACCCUUCGAAAGAGGGGCUAAUACCGGAUGCGCCCACGGGCAGAGAUGCCUGGGGGCAAAGGGUGCUCCUGAAUAGGGGCAUGCCCUCGUGGCGGGGCCCGCGGCCUAUCAGCUAGUUGGUAGGGUAACGGCCUACCAAGGCGAAGACGGGUAGCUGGUCUGAGAGGAUGGCCAGCCACACGGGGACUGAGACACGGCCCCGACUCCUACGGGAGGCAGCAGUGGGGAAUAUUGGGCAAUGGGCGCAAGCCUGACCCAGCGACGCCGCGUGGGUGAUGAAGGCCUUCGGGUCGUAAAGCCCUGUCGGGUGGAAAGAACGACUGUGGGGCGAAUAGCUCCAUAGUGUGACGGUACCACCGAAGGAAGCACCGGCCAAUUCCGUGCCAGCAGCCGCGGUAA